GAUGAAGAACGCAGCGAAAUGCGAUACGUAAUGUGAAUUGCAGAAUUCAGUGAAUCAUCGAAUCUUUGAACGCAUAUUGCGCUCUUUGGUAUUCCGAAGAGCAUGCUUGUUUGAGUAUCAGUAAACACCUCAAAGCUUUUGGAUUUUUUAAUCGAAAAGCUUUGGACUUGAGCAAUCCCAACACCAAUCUUUUUGAGAUCGGUGGCGGGUUGCUUGAAAUGCAGGUGCAGCUGGACAUUCUCCUGAGCUAAAUGCAUAUUCAUUUAGUCCCGUCAAACGGAUUAUUACUUUUGCUGCAGCUAACAUAAAGGGAGUUUGACCGUAUUGGCUGACUGAUGCAGGAUUUCACAAGGGUCGGCAACGAUUCUUGUUAAACUCGAUCUCAAAUCAAGUAAGACUACCCGCUGAACUUAAGCAUAUCAAUAAGCGGAGGA
rnacentral:misc_RNA from 1 species